rnacentral:ncRNA from 1 species
UGAACUGGGAGUGCGAGACAAAUCCCAGUGGGAAAGUUCCAGAAAUGGAACUAUCGCAUUUCCCGACC